rnacentral:tRNA from 1 species
GCAUUGGUGGUUCACUGGUAGAACUCUUUCUUCCAUGUGGGAGACCCGGGUUUGAUUCCCAGUCAAGGCA